ACCUGAUCACAGUUCAACUUUUAGGAAGUGACCAAUAUUUAAUAGAGGUAGCUUUGUUUGUUGUUGUGUUGAAGGUUUGCGCAGAGUUUGUGAAGGAAACUUUGCUAUGGACUGCCUCCUCUGCCAAAGAGAGUUGUUCAUAAUCUGCGGGAAAAUUUUUAAGGUUUUUAAAUUAAAGAUCUUUAAAGUUAUAUAUGGUGUCUUUUUUUUACCCACCAGAGAUCAGUCAUAUUGUUACUGGUGGGUAUUUUGUUUGCUGUGGUACAGAUGUGACACCUCUGGCUUAUUAUGAGACUGUAGGAGGGAUGGGGUUGGGCGUGGCUCCAAUGAUCAUCAUCUCUCCUCCUUGAGAGAGUUGUACUGUGGACACUGGCAUUCGUUCCCCAGUCUGAUAGCUGGACACUUGGGGAGUAAUUGGUGUGAAAAAGGAAGAUUCCUAAAACAAGAGAUUAUGUCAGUGUUCUUCUUUAUACCAAACUUUCUUUACUUAGUUUAUGUAUUUUGUGUGUUUGAAAACUUGGUGCUUGCACAUAAUAGAGAAUUUUUUUACAGGUUCAUUCUCUUUGUAUUUUAAUCAGUGAAACAAAAAAAAAUUCCAAGUAAACCGCAAAACAAUUAUAUUGGCUGUGAAUAGGCCAAAGAAAAAAGUUUCUUGUGCACUCCUUUUCCCUUUUGAUUCAUAUUGUUGCAAGCUCCCUUUCAGGUGGAAGUUCAAGGAAAAGCAUAAGAAAAUACUGGGCUUUGAAUAGUGUACAGAAAAAAAGCAGCAUUAAGCGAUCAACUUGUGUCGCAGCAGUCCAGUAUUCUAUUAGUGAAAACAUUGCUAUUGGCCAUCAGAACUUAUUGGUUAUUCAUCAGUUUCAUGGACUCCUUUACAGUUGUUAUUUUGUUUCAUGGCAUGGAGAAUAUGUGUGGGUCAGUAAAGAAAGUGACGGCUUCAAAGGAUACUGAUCUUACAGUAAAUGGUUUCAACCAAGGAGUACCAUUGGAUUAUAUAGUAUGACUGUCCGGGUGAGAAUAAUCCUGAGAGGAACUGUUUUAGUAGUAGUGACUGACGUUUUGUGAACUUGAGAAGAAGUCACCAUUAGAGUCUUAUGGUAAAGAGGUGUCAGUUAAGUGUUAGAAGUUCAGUCCAAGUAAACUGAUUGGUCAAUUUUGCUGUAAUGUCACUGUCUGUCUGAUUCAAGGAGUGUAAGUCAGUUGUGAUUGGUCAGUGAUUAAUCUUAUUACUGACGUGCAUUAUUAGAUAAAAGUGUGUUUCGUGAA